ensembl:lncRNA
AAGGAAGUCAAAAUAAAAAAAGCUUUCAUCAUUUAUUCAGAACUGUAUAGCAUACUGGUCCUCUUAUUCUAUAUUAUAGAUAAGCUGUUGUAUUGGCUAAUCUGCUCAUUUUAUGUAUGCAAGGAGUUCCCAUUAGUAUUAUUUAUUAGUUAUUGAGUAGACCAGAAUGCAAAGUCAAGUAGGUGAUAACUGAAGCUACAAUCCUUUGGCCACCUGAUGCAAAGAACUGACUUAUUAGAAAAGACCCUGAUGCUGGGUAUGGUUGAAAGCAGGAUGAGGUACAGAGGAUGAGAUGGUUGGAUGCCAUCACUGACUUGAUGAACACGAGUUUGAGCAAGCUCUGGGAGUUGGUGAUGGACAGGGAAGCCUGGCCUGCUGCAGUCCAUGGGGCCACAAAGAGUCCAACAGGACUAAGUGACUGAACUGAACUGAUUGAGUAGACCCAAGAGGGAAAUCCAAAAAAGUAACAGGCGCUGGUCAAGAUAGACUCUAUAGGUCCGAGGUGGCGGGGGGGACUUCAGUGAAAAUGACAGUUACUGGAACAGUGUGAGCAGAGGAUUGUUGUGAGUGAAAUGAUAUUUCAGAAGCACCUGUCAAUGGUGAAAUGAGAACUGACAGCUGGGGGGAAGCUGAAAGGAAGGAGACCAAUUUGGAAGCUCUCCAAAAUCCCAGCAGGAGACAGCAAUGGCCUGGACCAGGACAGCCCAGGAGAGACCAGGCAAGAUGGUCUGAGAGGUGGGCAGCUUUGGGGUGUAUGUUGAUGACAGAAGCAGAAAAGUUUACUGGCAGCUUAGACACAACAGCUUGAGAGAAAAAAAAAGAACCCAGAAUGUUUCCAAGGCUUUUAUCCUAAACUAUAUGUCAAGGAUGAUGCCGUUGAAAAAUAAGAUCAGGAAAACUGUGGGUACAACAGGUUUUAGAAAAGACACUAUUUUCAGUUAGGAAGAAUUUAAAUGUGGGUUAUCUGUCGCCCACGUGGUGAUUUUCAGUAGGCAAUUGUUCAGUUGCUCAGCUGUGUCCGAUUCUUUUGAUGCUCC